rnacentral:rRNA from 1 species
CCUACGGGUGGCUGCAGUGAGGAAUAUUGGUCAAUGGGCGCGAGCCUGAACCAGCCAAGUCGCGUGAGGGAAGACGGUCCUAUGGAUUGUAAACCUCUUUUGUCGGGGAGCAAAAGCCGCCACGCGUGGCGUUCCGAGAGUACCCGAAGAAAAAGCAUCGUCAAACUCCGUGCCAGCAGCCGCGGUAAUACGGAGGAUGCGAGCGUUACCCGGAUUUAUUGGGUUAAAGGGGUGCGAAGGCGGAAGAUCAAGUCAGCGGUAAAAUUGAGAGGCUCAACCUCUUCGAGCCGUUGAAACUGGUUUUCUUGAGUGAGCGAGAGGUAUGCGGAAGGCGUGGUGUAGCGGUGAAAUGCAUAGAUAUCACGCAGAACUCCGAUUGCGAAGGCAGCAUACCGGCGCUCAACUGACGCUCAUGCACGAAAGUGUGGGUAUCGAACAGGAUUAGAUACCCUUGUAGUC